AGAGUUUGAUCAUGGCUCAGAACGAACGCUGGCGGCGUGCUUAACACAUGCAAGUCGAACGCGAAAGUUUUCUUUCGGGAAAGCGAGUAGAGUGGCGCACGGGUGAGUAACGCGUAAGUAAUCUACCCUGGUAUCCGGGAUAACCCACCGAAAGGUGAGCUAAUACGGGAUACGCUGAUUUAUCAGGAAAGAUGGCCUCUUCAUGAAAGCUAUCGUACCAGGAGGAGCUUGCGUACCAUUAGCUAGUUGGUAGGGUAAAGGCCUACCAAGGCGACGAUGGUUAGCGGGUCUGAGAGGAUGAUCCGCCACACUGGAACUGGAACACGGACCAGACUCCUACGGGAGGCAGCAGUGAGGAAUAUUGCGCAAUGGGGGAAACCCUGACGCAGCGACGCCGCGUGGAUGAUGAAGGCCUUCGGGUCGUAAAAUCCUGUCAGAUGGAAAGAAGUGUAUAGUAGCUAAUAUCUGCUAUAUUUGACGGUACCAUCAAAGGAAGCACCGGCUAACUCCGUGCCAGCAGCCGCGGUAAUACGGAGGGUGCAAGCGUUGUUCGGAAUUACUGGGCGUAAAGCGCGCGUAGGCGGCUGUUUAAGUCAGAUGUGAAAGUCCCCGGCUCAACCGUGGAAGUGCAUUUGAAACUGGAUGGCUUGAGUACUGGAGGGGGUGGUGGAAUUCCCGGUGUAGAGGUGAAAUUCGUAGAUAUCGGGAGGAAUACCGGUGGCGAAGGCGACCACCUGGCCAGAUACUGACGCUGAGGUGCGAAAGCGUGGGGAGCAAACAGGAUUAGAUACCCUAGUAGUCC
rnacentral:rRNA from 1 species